rnacentral:rRNA from 1 species
GACGAACGCUGGCGGCGUGCUUAACACAUGCAAGUCGAACGGAAAGGCCCUGCUUUUGUGGGGUGCUCGAGUGGCGAACGGGUGAGUAACACGUGAGUAACCUGCCCUUGACUUUGGGAUAACUUCAGGAAACUGGGGCUAAUACCGGAUAGGAGCUCCUGCUGCAUGGUGGGGGUUGGAAAGUUUCGGCGGUUGGGGAUGGACUCGCGGCUUAUCAGCUUGUUGGUGGGGUAGUGGCUUACCAAGGCCUUGACGGGUAGCCGGCCUGAGAGGGUGACCGGCCACAGUGGGACUGAGAUACGGCCCAGACUCCUACGGGAGGCAGCAGUGGGGAAUAGUGCACGAUGGGCGGAAGCCUGAUGCAGCAACGCCGCGUGCGGGAUGACGGCCUUCGGGUUGUAAACCGCUUUCGCCUGUGACGAAGCGUGAGUGACGGUAAUGGGUAAAGAAGCACCGGCUAACUACGUG